rfam:Neotoma lepida isolate 417 scaffold_3649, whole genome shotgun sequence.
GUAAGACUCAAACUGGUGGCUCUUUUGUUUUUUCUUGGAAGAAAAGUGCCGCCAGGUUUUGAGUGUUAC